rnacentral:misc_RNA from 1 species
GUGAUUCCAAAAUCAUUUUCUCCCCCAACAAAAGGCUCUUAGAAAAUUUUGCUGCUUUUCUUUGGCCUUCUUCCUCUUUACCUCUUUCCUUGUAUUGUUUGUAAAGGAAAAAAAAUUAUAACCAGAAAAUUUCUCUUAGCAAUGACUGCUACAACAGCUACAGCAACCAAGUUUAUCAAAUGUGUAACGGUUGGAGAUGGAGCUGUUGGAAAGACUUGCCUUCUUAUCUCCUACACUAGCAACACCUUCCCUACCGAUUAUGUUCCCACUGUUUUCGAUAACUUCAGUGCCAAUGUUGUGGUUGAUGGGAAGACCGUGAAUCUGGGUCUCUGGGAUACUGCUGGUCAGGAGGAUUACAACAGGCUAAGGCCUCUAAGUUAUAGAGGAGCUGAUGUUUUCAUUCUUGCCUUUUCUCUCAUAAGUAGGCCUAGCUAUGAGAAUAUAUCAAAAAAAUGGGUCCCAGAGCUCAGACAUUAUGCCCCAUCAGUACCCAUUAUUCUUGUGGGGACUAAACUAGAUCUGAGGGAAGAUCGACAAUUUCACUUAGAUUAUCCUGGGGCGUGCACCAUUUCUACAGAGCAGGGUAUAGAACUAAAGAAGCAAAUAGGAGCAUUGGCAUAUGUAGAAUGCAGCUCUAAGACACAGCAGGUUUGUUUCACAUCUGUAUAUAUUCUUACCAAGUGAUUCGCUUAGGGUCUGAUCAUUUGCAACUCUCUAGCCAUAUAAUGGCCUUUCUCGAUAAAUUAGUAACUUUAUUGUAACUUGCCUUCCAUGUCUCUAGUAAAGUCCUUGGUAAAGGAAUAGGAAAUGAAGUGCAACUUAGUAUUAUUCCUGUCAUGCCUCCAUAGAUUCUUUGGCCGCUCUAGGAAAUCAUAUGAGGACACUUUUCUAAUAAAAUACCUAUCAUGUCUAGAAUGAAAAUGCUUCUCAAGUAUGAACUCAAGUGAAAACCUUGAAAUCUUAAGCUAAAGUCUUAAUUCUUGGAAACUAAAAUUUUGUAAAAAAAUCAAUUCAAUUGAUUUCUUUUUUUUAUCAAUUCUCAUAUUUAGAAUAAAAAAAUUCAGUUUUUUUUACUUGAAAAAAUUUUGAUUUUAAAAUAAAUAGAAAUUAAAUAUGAUUGUAUGAAAAUUCAAUUGAAUUCUUUUCUUACAAAUGAUUUAUUCCAGAG